UACGAAGGGGGCUAGCGUUGCUCGGAAUCACUGGGCGUAAAGAGCACGUAGGCGGAUCUUUAAGUCAGGGGUGAAAUCCCGGAGCUCAACUCCGGAACUGCCUUUGAUACUGGAGAUCUUGAGUCCGGGAGAGGUGAGUGGAACUGCGAGUGUAGAGGUGAAAUUCGUAGAUAUUCGCAAGAACACCAGUGGCGAAGGCGGCUCACUGGCCCGGUACUGACGCUGAGGUGCGAAAGCGUGGGGAGCAAACAGG
rnacentral:rRNA from 1 species